GUUUGUAUAGUCACUGAUAAAUAAACAAAUAGACAAGCCAUGUUCGAAAAGAAUAUGGAGACGAACAAAGUAAACUAUAAGAGUGAAUACAUUUGAAUUGUUACCGGUAUAUAUGACUAAACUUUCGCAAAACAGACUAAUUAGUCUAGCAUAUAUAUUUUUAAAAUCUACCCAAACUGGCUCAGUACUGAAAAUUUGAAGAACGGAACGAUUUCCCUGAACACUUACCCUGGUAUUAUUCCGCUCCGCCUUGAGUUCCCCGAUCUCCUCGUCUCGUUCCAAAAGGGUUUCCCGCGCCUGCGUAAGUUCCUUGGUUAGAGUGGCAAACUCCUGGAAGGA